AGCAGUCGCCGCGGGAAUACGUAGGUCCCGAGCGUUGUCCGGAUUUAUUGGGCGUAAAGCGAGCGCAGGCGGUUAGAUAAGUCUGAAGUUAAAGGCUGUGGCUUAACCAUAGUACGCUUUGGAAACUGUUUAACUUGAGUGCAAGAGGGGAGAGUGGAAUUCCAUGUGUAGCGGUGAAAUGCGUAGAUAUAUGGAGGAACACCGGUGGCGAAAGCGGCUCUCUGGCUUGUAACUGACGCUGAGGCUCGAAAGCGUGGGGAGCAAACAGGAUUAGAUACCCCCGUAGUCCCUGUCUCUUAUACC
rnacentral:rRNA from 1 species